rnacentral:rRNA from 1 species
GACGAAUGCUGGCGGCGUGCUUAACACAUGCAAGUCGAACGGAAAGGCCCUGCUUUUGUGGGGUGCUCGAGUGGCGAACGGGUGAGUAACACGUGAGUAACCUGCCCUUGACUUUGGGAUAACUUCAGGAAACUGGGGCUAAUACCGGAUAGGAGCUCCUGCUGCAUGGUGGGGGUUGGAAAGUUUCGGCGGUUGGGGAUGGACUCGCGGCUUAUCAGCUUGUUGGUGGGGUAGUGGCUUACCAAGGCUUUGACGGGUAGCCGGCCUGAGAGGGUGACCGGCCACAUUGGGACUGAGAUACGGCCCAGACUCCUACGGGAGGCAGCAGUGGGGAAUAUUGCACAAUGGGCGGAAGCCUGAUGCAGCAACGCCGCGUGCGGGAUGACGGCCUUCGGGUUGUAAACCGCUUUCGCCUGUGACGAAGCGUGAGUGACGGUAAUGGGUAAAGAAGCACCGGCUAACUACGUG